rnacentral:rRNA from 1 species
UACAGAGGUCUCAAGCGUUGUUCGGAUUCAUUGGGCGUAAAGGGUGUGUAGGUGGCGCCGUUAGUCGGGUGUGAAAUUUCGGAGCUUAACUCCGAAACUGCAUUCGAUACUGCGGUGCUUGAGGACUGGAGAGGAGACUGGAAUUCGAUGGUGUAGCAGUGAAAUGCGUAGAGAUCAUGAGGAAGACCAGUGGCGAAGGCGGGUCUCUGGACAGUUCCUGACACUGAGACACGAAGGCCAGGGGAGCAAACGGG